rnacentral:lncRNA from 10 species
CUUCCUUCAUGGCGCUCGGCGCUCUCCGAAAUGAUUGUUUUUACUCUUUUGUUUGUAUGGUUAGUUUUCAGCCUCCCUUCUCUAAACCAUGAGUUCCAGGGGGCAGGAACCCCAUGUCGGGCUCUCUGCUAUAUUCCCAGCACCCAGCAUGGUGCCCGGCACACAUAGGCCCUAGGAACAGCCUUCACGGAAGCUUGGAACAGCACCUUACUCCAUCCUCAAAGCUGACACAGGACUAACUCUGCCUCAGCUCUAGUGAGACGACACCCAGGCCUGCUAUUCCUGCUCCCUAGGUCUUUGGAAAUGGCCUGAGCUCAGCUCCUCGGAGCCUGUGUGUGGCAGCCGCAGGCUGUCCUUGCAACUAUCAGGCAGCUGUGCCCUCUCUGAGGUGUCAACCCAGGGCCAUUCUGCCACAGAAAGACUGGGAGAUAGGGGAGGCCAGUUUCUAUGCACAUAGGUUAAGUACCUGGAUCUAGCCAUUCCUCUAAGCAGUAAACCUUGGCUUUUUAUGAUCCACAAACCAGCUUUUUGCUCAAGCUGGUUGGGUUGAGUUUUGGGCCACAUCUCAUCAGGCAGGUCCUGACUAAAGCAGAGUGAGGUGAAGGCAGCUGGAACUUCCGUGUCGGGUGGGGACUUGGAGAACUUUUCUGGCUAGCUAGAGGAUUGUAAAUGCACCAAUCAGCACUCUGUAAAAACGCACCAAUCAGCACUCCGUGAAACGGACCAAUCAGCAGGACAUGGGUGGGGACAAAUAAGGGAAUAAAAGCUGCCCGCCCACCCCUCGCCAGCCAGCAACAGCGGCGACCGGCUGUGGUCUUUUUCCCUGCUGUGGAAGCUUUGUUCUCUUGCUCUUCACAAGACAUUUUGCUGCUACGCACUCUUUGGGUCUGCACCAC